UCCUACCUACGGGGGGCAGCAGUGAGGAAUAUUGGUCAAUGGGCGAGAGCCUGAACCAGCCAAGUCGCGUGAGUGAAGACGGUCCUAUGGAUUGUAAACCUCUUUUGCCGGGGAGCAAAAAGCGGUACGUGUACCGCAUCGAGAGUACCCGGAGCAAAAGCAUCGGCUAACUCCGUGCCAGCAGCCGCGGUAAUACGGAGGUUGCGCGCGUUAUCCGGAUUUAUUGGGUUUAAAGGGUGCGCAG
rnacentral:rRNA from 1 species